UACUUCCCAAUUCACUAUCUCACAUUUAAUUUCAUUCCAUAUAUAUGCCCCUAUCUAGCCCCUAUUUAAGCUGCUUGAGCCUCCUCCUUUGUUCUCAGUGUAAGAUAACACAAAAAAGGUUCAUAGCAUCCUCUGCAAAUUAAUCCAGUUACUGUUGAAGAUCGAGAAUGAAGCUUGUGGUGAUUGCACUACUAGUGUUGAUGCUGGCAAGCUAUUCUAUGGCUACAAAUAGGAUGAAAUUGGUGCCAAAAUUGGACGAGAGAUCAGAACUGGGUAAUGAAUCUGAUGAUAAUGAUCACCACCAAAUCCCUCGAAAGAAGUAUGGAAAACCUGGAUCUGUCGAACGUACAGUGAGUGAGGAGUAUAAUCACCAUUACAUCCCUCGCAAGGACUAUGGCACACCUGGCCAGGGUGGAAAUUAAAUAUUAAAUGUUUAUUUAGUACUAAUGUAUUAAGGAUAUAUAUAUAUGCAUCAUAAAGCUGUAUAUAUGCACAAGUGUUGCAGUGUUGGAUGUGAUUGAGUAAUGAAUGCUAGCUGAGUGUGUGUUGGUAAGAUAUUUAUCUAUGUAAGCAAUUACUGAGACUAUUAUUUAUCAACUUAAGUCCCGGAACUACGUUUCACCACGUACGAUGUACGUGUCCACAUAUAUUGGUAUGUAAGAAUGUGUGAGUUGUACCCUAAUGCUAUGUUUGUGAUUCUACAUAUGUGUGUGUGUGUGUCGCAAUCACACAAUCGGAUAGUUGAGUUAAUAGUAAAUAAAAACAAGAGUUGGUUUGAUCAAUUCUAUA